rnacentral:rRNA from 1 species
CAGCCGCCGCGGUAAAACCAGCACCUCGAGUGGUCAGGAGGUUUAUUGGGCCUAAAGCAUCCGUAGCCGGUUGCAUAAGUUUUCGGUUAAAUCUAUGCGCUUAACGUAUAGGCUGCCGAAAAUACUGUGCAGCUAGGGAGUGGGANANGUACACGGUACUCGAUAGGAAGGGGUAAAAUCCUUUGAUCUAUUGAUGACCACCUGUGGCGAAGGCGGUGUACCAGAACACGUUCGACGGUGAGGGAUGAAAGCUGGGGGAGCAAACCGGAUUAGAUACCCGGGUAGUCCCAGC